rnacentral:rRNA from 1 species
GGGGAAUAUUGCACAAUGGGGGAAACCCUGAUGCAGCAACGCCGCGUGAGCGAUGAAGGCCUUCGGGUUGUAAAGCUCUGUCUUCUCUGACGAUAAUGACGGUAAGAGAGGAGGAAGCCACGGCUAACUACGUGCCAGCAGCCGCGGUAAUACGUAGGUGGCAAGCGUUGUCCGGAAUUAUUGGGCGUAAAGGAUGCGUAGGCGGUCUUUUAAGUGGGAUGUGAGAUACCCGGGCUUAACCUGGGAAUGGCAUUCCAAACUGGAAGACUAGAGUGCAGGAGAGGAAAGUGGAAUUCCCAGUGUAGCGGUGAAAUGCGUAGAGAUUGGGAGGAACACCAGUGGCGAAGGCGACUUUCUGGACUGUAACUGACGCUGAGGCAUGAAAGCGUGGGGAGCAAAC